rnacentral:ncRNA from 2 species
AACCCGUAGAUCCGAACUUGUGGG